UACGUAGGGUGCGAGCGUUGUCCGGAUUUACUGGGCGUAAAGCGUGCGUAGGUGGUUUGUUAAGUCUGCUGUGAAAGCCCCCGGGCUCAACCUGGGAAUGGCAGUGGAUACUGGCAAGCUAGAGUGCGGUAGAGGGGUGUGGAAUUCCCGGUGUAGCGGUGAAAUGCGUAGAGAUCGGGAGGAACACCAGUGGCGAAGGCGGCACCCUGGACCAGCACUGACACUGAGGCACGAAAGCGUGGGGAGCAAACAGG
rnacentral:rRNA from 1 species